rnacentral:rRNA from 1 species
AACGAACGCUGGCGGCAGGCUUAACACAUGCAAGUCGAACGCCGUAGCAAUACGGAGUGGCAGACGGGUGAGUAACACGUGGGAACGUGCCCAAAGGUACGGAACAACUCCGGGAAACUGGAGCUAAUACCGUAUGUGCCCGAAAGGGGAAAGAUUUAUCGCCUUUGGAUCGGCCCGCGUCUGAUUAGCUAGUUGGUGAGGUAAUGGCUCACCAAGGCGACGAUCAGUAGCUGGUCUGAGAGGAUGGCCAGCCACACUGGGACUGAGACACGGCCCAGACUCCUACGGGAGGCAGCAGUGGGGAAUAUUGGGCAAUGGGCGCAAGCCUGACCCAGCCAUGCCGCGUGAGUGAUGAAGGCCUUAGGGUUGUAAAGCUCUUUCGCCGAGGACGAUAAUGACGGUACUCGGAUAAGAAGCCCCGGCUAACUUCGUGCCAGCAGCCGCCGUAAGAC